AGCGUGGGAUUCCGGACUGUGAGCGGCUGUUAGUGCGUCGCAGCUGCUGGCGAUCCGGCGACCCUCGGCCGGCAGGACCCGCGGGCCACGCAGCCGGGGCCUUCUCAACGCCUCAGUACCUCGGCGGGACCGCCAUGGUUCUGCUGCACGUGAAGCGGGGCGACGAGAGCCAGUUCCUGCUGCAGGCGCCUGGGAGUACCGAGCUGGAGGAGCUCACGGUGCAGGUGGCCCGGGUCUAUAAUGGGCGGCUCAAGGUGCAGCGCCUCUGCUCAGAAAUGGAAGAAUUAGCCGAACAUGGCAUAUUUCUCCCUCCUAAUAUGCAAGGACUGACCGAUGAUCAGAUUGAAGAAUUGAAAUUGAAGGAUGAAUGGGGUGAAAAAUGCGUACCCAGCGGAGGUGCAGUGUUUAAAAAGGAUGAUAUUGGACGAAGGAAUGGGCAAGCUCCAAAUGAGAAGAUGAAGCAAGUGUUAAAGAAGACUAUAGAAGAAGCCAAAGCAAUAAUAUCUAAGAAACAAGUGGAAGCCGGUGUCUGUGUUACCAUGGAGAUGGUGAAAGAUGCCUUGGACCAGCUUCGAGGCGCGGUGAUGAUUGUUUACCCCAUGGGGUUGCCACCGUAUGAUCCCAUCCGCAUGGAGUUUGAAAAUAAGGAAGACUUGUCGGGAACACAGGCAGGGCUCAACGUCAUUAAAGAGGCAGAGGCGCAGCUGUGGUGGGCAGCCAAGGAGCUGAGAAGAACGAAGAAGCUUUCAGACUACGUGGGGAAGAAUGAAAAAACCAAAAUUAUCGCCAAGAUUCAGCAACCAUUACAGCAGCAGAUCAUCAGACUCCACCAAGAGCUUGGGAGACAGAAGUCUCUGUGGGCUGAUGUUCAUGGAAAACUCCGGAGUCAUAUAGAUGCUUUGAGGGAGCAGAACAUGGAGCUCCGAGAAAAGCUGAGAGCUCUGCAGCUGCAGCGGUGGAAAGCCAGGAAGAAAUCUGCAGCGUCCCCACACGCGGGGCAAGAAUCGCACACUCUGGCAUUGGAACCUGCUUUUGGAAAAAUUUCACCUCUGUCAGCUGAUGAAGAGACAAUACCCAAAUACGCUGGCCACAAGAAUCAGAGUGCCACUCUCCUGGGACAAAGAUCGUCAUCUAACAAUUCAGCUCCUCCAAAGCCAAUGAGUUUAAAGAUAGAAAGAAUUAGCUCGUGGAAAACACCACCACAGGAAAAUAGAGAUAAAAAUCUUUCCAGGAGACGUCAAGACAGAAGAGCAACACCUACUGGAAGGCCAACUCCCUGUGCAGAGAGACGGGGGGGUGUCUGAAGAUGGAAAGGUGGCCUCGGACACCUGUGUCACUCUACACUGGCCCCUUGGAAAAUUCAGAUUCAGAUAAAGUUCCACUUAGGUCUAAUAAAAGUACUCAAUUUGUUAUUCAAAAUAGACCUAGUAAUUUAUUAAACUAAUUAUGUUUCUAUAGAUAAAAACUUGAAGUUCUUCAGACAUGUCUCUAAUGCUAUAAAAGCAAACAACUUGGAUUGGGUUUUAUAAAUCAGUUGCUUUCCUGAGCUCUGUAGUUGGUAUAUUUCUGCAGAGUCUUUAAAAAAAUUAACCCACCUUGUAGUAUGGAGUGUCGGGCUGUUGGGUGAGCCCUGGGGUCUUGCUGGAAAUCGAGGAUGGCUGAAGAUGGCUUUGUGCUCCCAGCCUUUGGGCUCAAGGCAUUGCCCGCUCCAGGGACCUUGUGACAAGGCGGGCCUGUGACUGUCAUUGCCCCAGGCUAUGCAUCCAUCUUCCCGAAGUCUGCAAAACUUGAGUGGCAGAAAAUCACCAGUGCAGGCUUCCCAGGCCGCCAUGCUGCAGGAGCAGAUGGCAGCAGCCGGAGGAGCUGGUGAGCAGAGUUGGGGACUCCUGUUUCUAUGCUCCCCGUGAAAUGCGGGGCUUUCUCGUGGAUACGCGUGAGCAGAACAUCUUACUAUGGCAAGGACAUGUCCUUCCUGGAGCUGCCUAAUUUGUGGCCACUUUUUGUCUGAUUCCCUCGUUGGGUCCUCACCUGUGAGACUUGCCAACACCCCCAGCCCUCCACCCCACACACAGCCCACAUGCCGGUCUCCAGGGGCCGUGACUGGAGAUUCCGAAUCCUAGCGGUCACUUCCCUCUGAGCACACUCCCAGCAGAAGGCGUGUGGCUGGGGCUAGAUGCACUUGGGUGCUUUGUUCCCCUUUCUCCAUUUGCCAGCCCAUGGCAUUGCUGCCACCCUGAUGGAGCGCCCUCUCAUCUGGCACCUUCCUGGCCUCUUUCCCAGGCCCCAGUUCUGUCCAUGCAGCUGUGGGUGCUUCCUGCAUUGCGGGUCUCACGGGGAGGAGACGAGAGUGCCCCUGGUUGAGUCAGGAAAGAAUUCUAUCUUCACGUCGCUGCCAGCAAAUGACCACAGCAGCUUCACGACCUCUGCAGGAACCUAUCUUGGUAAAGAAACGGGGCCUAUGUGGUGGCCGAGCCUCAGGUGUGGCCGAGCUUCAGGUGUGGCCCUUAUGCACAGCACAGCCCAAGCCUGUGGGCACCACUCGCCCUGGGCUGCCUGGCACCUGGACUCCUUCCCAUCCUUGGCCGAGGUCUGCGUGGCCCUUCAGGGCCGAAUCUGACACUGUCUUCCUCCUGAGUCUGCCCCCCGGGCUUCCUGCCCACCCCCAGGCUGUUUCAUGGCCUCUGCAGGGAGCUUCGUAGAGGUGAGGCUGGUGCCAUCUGUCUGCUUCAGACCACCUCAGGCUCUGCGUGCCCUCACAGUCCCCUCUGCACUUCUCUGUGGGGCAGGGAAGCCCUUCCCAUCAGGUCUGCUCCAGCCUGGCUACCUUGUUCCUGCUGUCCCCUCCCCUUCAGGCCCCCGGACAAGACUUCAGUGUACUUGCUGGUGCCGGGCAGAAUGGGGGACCUUGCCUCUCACACACACCUGCUAGUAUCUCCGCAACCUCCAGGCAUCAUCUCAGCUGACAGUGACGCCAUCCUGGGGAAGCUCCCCUGACUCCUGGCUCUCCUGGAAGCCUGUGGUGCUCCUUCACAAUGGCCCGUGGCCCUUCAUAGGUCCCGUAAGCCAGUGUCACAGGGAUUCGGCUUUUCUCUUCUGUGUUUGCCUGCUGCGGGACUGUGAGCAGCUUCAGGGCCAAGACAGUGCCUUUCCAUCCGUGAAUCUCCUGAUCCAUCAGAAUACUCGAAAGAGAAAUACCGACUGAGUGUAUUCAUUAAAGAAUUAAUGUUCCUUACAGGAUCAUUUGUUGUUGAACUGACCUGACAUGUGUAUAGUAAUCUCAUGAACAAGAAAGAAUGUGUUCACACGUUUGCUUAAAUUGAAUUUAGCAAUCGCAUUAGGAUACUGAUAUUUCCACAAUGUAUAUACACUAUCCUUUUAAAUUUAACUUAUUUGCUUUUUAGACGGAAGCUCCUCAGUCUUAGAGAGUUCUGAAGGUGGAUUUCUCAGCCACGUUCAACCUGAUGAGUUCACUGCUUCUUCCCCAAACAUUGCAGAGCUGCAGGAAAUUUGGGCUGUGAACUUACGUGUGAUGUUUACUAUUAUGCAAAUGCUCAGACGACACACACGACCUACCCUGAUGGUUUGGAAGUUGUGCAGUUUCUUAACAAGCAGACAGAUCUUUGUAAAGAAGAUGCUGAAUGUGGAUGUAGAAAAGAUGCAGACCCUGAGGCUGAAGAGGGAGGAAGCUGGAAACUCCGUGCGGGUAACUGAAUGCUAAGGCUGCUUCCUGGCCUCCAGCGGUGUCUGAGGAAAGGAGCAUAGCUGCAAAUCCAAGGAUACACAAAGGAGCCAUGCUGCCAAGUAAGAGCCCGUCUUCCAUCCAUUGCUCUCAAGCACUAUCUACCAGAUCGCAGCCCAAACUACAACAACAACAAAAAAGUCACUCUGCCACUUCUCCCUGCUGAUAAACCAAGGGCAAGAAUUCAACCACAAAGACCCUUACAGAGCCUUAGCCCUCUGAAAACUUCCGGAUACAAAGCCAACUGACUAUGCUAGAUUACCAUCACAGUUAAAGGAACCCAGCCUUCUCAGAUGGGAAAAAAAUCAGAAUAAGAACUCUGGCAAUUCAGAAAGCCAGUGUCCCCUCACCUCCAAACAGGCCCACUAGGUUCCCAGCAAUGGUUAAUCAGUCUGAAAUGUCUGAAAUGGCAGACAUAGAAUUCAGAAUCUGGAUGGCUAGGAAGCUUAUCAAGACCAAGAGAAAGUUGAAACUCAAUCCAAGGAUGCAAAGCAAUUCAGUAAAAUGAUUCAAGAGUUGAAAGACUAAGAAGCCGUUUUAAGAAAGACCCAAAAUUGAACUUCUUGAACUGAAAAAUUCGCUACGAGAAUUUCAAACUACAAGCAGAACUAUUAACAGCAGAAUAGACCAAGCAGAGAAAAGAACCUCAGGGCUUGAAGACAGUUAAUUAAGUCAACUCAGUCAGGCAAAAAUAAAGAGAAAAAAUAAAGAAAAAUGAACAAAACCUCUGAGAAAUAUGCAAUUAUGCAAAGAAACCAAAUCUAUGACUCAUUGGCAUUCUUGAGAAAGAAAAAUAAUAAGCAACUUGGAAAGUAUAUUUGAGGACAUAGUCCAUGAAAAUUUCCCUAAACUCAUUAGAGAGGUUGACCUGCAAAUCCAAGAAAUAUAGAGGACCCUAGCCAGAUACUAUACAAGACAUCCAUCCCCAAGGCACGUGGUCAUCAGAUUCACUGAAGUGAACACAAAAGAAAACAUCUUAAAGGCAGCAAGAAAGAUGGGGAAUGUAACUUACAAAGGGAACCCAUCAGGCUAAUAGCAGACCUUUCGGCAGAAACCUUAUAAGCCAGAAGAGAUUGGGGGCCUAUUUUUAGCAUCUUGAAGAAAAAAAAUUCUAACCAAGAAUUUCAUAUGCUGCCAAACCAAGCUUCUUAAAUGAAGAUGAAAUAAAAUCCUUCUCAGAAAAGCAAAUUCUGAGGGAGUAUAUUUAAACUAGACCAGACUUACAAGACAUCCCCAGAAGUGGACCUGGUGAGGGAGUCCUCAGAUCCUCAGGUCCCCGGUGAGGGGGACCUGGUGAGGGAGUGCUAAACAUAGAAUUGAAAGAGCCUGCUACCACAAAAGACACUUCAGACCAUAGCCCACAAGAACUAUAAAGCAACUGCGUAAUUAAGUCUACAUAACAGCCAGUUAACAACACAAUGACAAAAUUAAAAUCAUUCCCAUCAAUAGUAACCUUGAAUAUAAAUGGGCUUAAUGCCCACUUAAAAGUCACAGAGUGGAAAGCCUGAUAAAAAGACAAGCCCCAAAUGUCAGUUUGCUUCAAGAAAUCCAUGUCACAUAUAAUAACACCCACAGGCUCAAAGUAAAAGAAUGGAGAAAAUUCUACCAUGCAAACUGAGAGGAAAAAAGAGCAGGAGUCACUAUACUUAUAUCAGAUAAAACAGACUUUAAAUAAAAAAUCAAGAAGGACAAUAAAAGGCAUUACAUAAUGAUAAAGGGUACAAUCCAACAAGAAGCCCUAACUGUUCUAAAUAUAUAUGCACCCAACAUUGGAGCACCCAGAUUCAUAAAAUAAGUUCUUCUUGGCCAACGAAAAACCUUAGACAAACACAAAAUACUAGUGGGAGGCUUGAACAUCCUACUGACAGCGUUAGAUCAUCAGGGCAGAAAGUUAACAAUGAAACUCUGGAUUUAAACUUGACACUUGACCAACUGGAUCUCAGACAGCUACAGGACACUACACCCAACAACCAAAAAAUAUACAUUUUUCUUGUCUGCACACAGAAUGUAUUCUAAGAUCAACCACAUGCUUGAUCAUAAAAAGUCUCAAUAAAUUCAAAAUGAUUGAAGUCAUACCAAAGCACAUUCUUGAAUCACAGUACAAUAAUAGUAGAAAUCAAUAUCAAGAUUGCCUCAAACUAUACAAAUACAUGAAAUUAACUAACUUACUCUAGCAUAACUCCUGGGUCAACAUCAAAAUUGAGGCAGAAAUCAAAAAAAUCGUUUGAAAUUAAUGAAAAUAGGGACACAACUUACCAAAAUCUCUGGAUGCAGCCAAGGCAGUGUUAAGAGGAAAGUUUAUAGCCCUAAAUGUCUUCAUCAAGAAGUUAAAAAAAUCUCAAAUUAACAAUCUAUCUUUGGAAAGGAAGAAACUAGGUCAACUAAGGGAAAGGAACUAGGGAGGAGAAAAUCCAAAACUAGCAGAAGAAAAACCACUGAAAUUAGAGAAGAACUUAAUGAAAUUGACAUGUAAAAAUCCAUACAAAAGAUCAAUAAAACCAAGACUUGGUUUUUCAAAAAAAUAAAAUCGAUAGGCCACUAGCCAGUUUAACAAAGAAAAAGAAAGAGAAGAUCCAAGAAAGCACAAUCAGAAAUGAAAAAGGUGGUUUUUUUUUUUAUCAGUAUCAUAACUGGUCCCACAGAAAUACAAAAGACCUUCAGAAACUAUUAUGAAUAACUCUAAGCACACAAAUUAGAAAAUCUAGAGGAAAUGGAUACUUUCCUGUAAGCACACGAUUUUCCAAGAUUGAAUCAGGAAAAGACUGUUAACGUGAAUAGACCAAUAUCAACUUCUGAAAUGGAAUCAGUAAUGAAAAACCUACCAACCAAAAAAGCCCUGGACCAGUUGGUUUCCCAGCUGAAUUCUACCAGACCGAAAGCAAUCCAACACAAAACUACAUGACUCAGAAAAUAUUGUAUAAAUUGUAGUUUAUCGUAGAAUUGUUUAAGGGCUCAAAUCCCUAGAGAUUCUAAUUCUGUUUCCUCUAAUUACCCCUCCUUCCUCACCUGCAUUUACAGAGAACACACAUUGGGCAAAAUAUGUGUCUGUCCUACUGGGAAAGUUUAUCAACUCUACAUCAUAGAACUGAGAACAAAUGCGGGGAGAGCUAAUGUUUUACCAAGAUGAACUUAACCAAACAAAGAGAUAGAAAUAAAAUUCAAAGCCAAGAGCCUUACGUAUAGAUAAAAAUGGAGGAAUGAGAACAUAGCAUUUAUCCAGGAAUCAUGAGUUAAUCAUGUUACCAGGCUUUAGGGCAAGGGGCUGGGUGAACAGUCACUAUAAUAUUACAUGCAUAGUUCUUUGAAAAUGUCAAGGAAAAGGCCGGGCGCAGUGGCUCACACCUGUAAUCCCAGCACUUUGGGAGGCCAAGGCAGGCAGAUCACGAGGUCAGGAGAUCGAGACCAUCCUGGCUAACAUAGUGAAACCCUGUCUCUACUAAAAAUACAAAAAAUAAAAAAUUAGCCAGGCGUGGUGGCGGGCACCUGUAGUCCCAGCUACUCAGGAGACUGAGGCAGGAUAAUGGCAUGAACCCAGGAGGCAGAGGUUGCAGUGAGGCGAGAUCACGCCACUGCACUCCAGCCUGGGUGACAGAGCGAGACUCUGUCUCAAAAAAAAAAAAAAA